rnacentral:rRNA from 1 species
UACGAAGGGGGCUAGCGUUGUUCGGAAUUACUGGGCGUAAAGGGCGCGUAGGCGGCUUCGAUAGUCGGGUGUGAAAUGCCUGGGCUCAACCCAGGAAUUGCACUCGAAACUCCGAGGCUUGAGUGUGGGAGAGGUUGGUGGAAUUCCCAGUGUAGAGGUGAAAUGCGCAGAUAUCAGGAGGAACACCGGUGGCGAAGGCGGGUCUCUGGGCCGAUAUUGACGCUGAGGAGCGAAAGCGUGGGGAGCGAACAGG